rfam:Rummeliibacillus stabekisii strain PP9, complete genome.
CCCGUGCUACAACCGCGCUGAAAAGGUUUAAGCAUCGAUUAUGAUCACCUAUUGAAGGCGAGUCUGAGUUAUCUA